CAAAAUACCCUAGCUGGGGAUAAUUCUGCUUCUUGAAGAUGCUUAUAGAAUUCAUAUGGGGAGAUGACAUUCCCUGCCUUUUUUACUUGCAGAGAUUGGUGGGCAAGCAUGAGAUGUCUAAGAAUGAGUUCUUGUUCAAUCACUAAGCCUUGUCUAACUCCUUGCUAACCCCAUGGACUGCGGCACUCCAGGCUUCACUGUCCUUCACUGUCUCCCGAGGUAGUGACGUCAUUCAACUAUCUCAUCCUCUGUCAUCCCCUUCUCUUUCUGCCUUUAAUCUUUCCCAGUCUCAGGGUCUUUUCCAAUGAGUCAGUUCUUCCCGUCAGGUGACCAAAGUAUUGGAGUUUCAGCAUCAGUCAUUCCAAAUGAAUAUUCAGAGUUGAUUCCCUUUAGGAUGGACUAGUUUGAUCUCCUUGCAGUCCAAGGGACUCUUAAGAGUCUUCUCCAGCACCACAAUUUGAAAACAUCAAUUUUUUGGUGCUCAGCAUUCUUUAUGGUCCAACUCUCAACAUCUGUAAAUGAGCAAAUAAAACCAAUUUUAUUUCCUAGACCAUCCUAAAUGAGUUUGGGGCCAGGCUAAGGUGGACCAGAGCCUCUGAAGCAGGGCCGGGGGUGGGAGGGCUGCAUCAUUUUGCAUAAGAAGCAUAUUCACAGGAGGAGAAGGAGACUGAGGCUAGACCCAGAGGAGAAGGAAAGGGAGAAGCAGGGGAAUGGCUGCAGCACAAGACAGAGACAGCCCGUGAGCGGUGUCCUGAGGCGGCAUCAGCCCGUGAGCGGUGUCCUGAGGCGGCAUCAGCCCGUGAGCGGUGUCCUGAGGUGGCAUCAGCCAGUGAGCGGUGUCCUGAGGUGGCAUCAGCCAGUGAGCGGUGUCCUGACGUGGCAUGAGCCAGUGAGAGGUGUCCUGACGUGGCAUCAGCCAGUGAGCGGUGUCCUGAGGUGGCAUCAACCCGUGAGAGGUGUCCUGACGUGGCAUCAGCCAGUGAGAGGUGUCCUGAGGUGGCAUCAGCCCGUGAGAGGUGUCCUGAGGUGGCAUCAGCCCGUGAGCGGUGUCCUGAGGUGGCAUCAGCCCGUGAGCGGUGUCCUGAGGUGGCAUCAGCCAGUGAGAGGUGUCCUGAGGUGGCAUCAGCCAGUGGAAUGUUCAUGCAAGCAGGUGCUCUGUUGGUCCCUGUGAUAUCUGGCAUUGGAACCAUCUUGUUUCAUUCUUUAACUUCCAACCUGUUUAACCUCAAACUUCCUUUUGCAAUAAAUCCAUCUUACUGAUUCUGCAGAAUCAACUUUGGAUGACACUGUCUGGGGAAAGGCAACGCAAGUGGGAGAAGAGAACCCUCAUGUGAGACAUAAGUAGUUCAGCACGAGCAGGAGCUUCAUUCCUUUACAACACCCACCAAUCAUAGGAGAGAGGUCCAUGUCUCUCUCAAGAUACAGAAUGGAGGCAAUUUGCAUAGAUACUCACCGAAAUGUCCUCAUGAACUUGAAUGACCUUGAAGAUCUUGGAGUGUGAGGCAUAAGUUACACACACACAUACACACACACUCACUAACUCACUCACUCACUAGCCAGCCUACCUGAUUUUGCUGGAGAGUCUUGUUAACUGUUGUCAAAUAAGUUAAUUCCCGCUAGUACUCAACCGGAAAUGCCGUUCUACCUGAGGUCGCAGAUUUGAGAGGCAGCUCAAUAGAACAUUAGGGGCCUCUAACAGAGGCUGCCCUGAGUGACUGCAGAUUCAGGCUUGUAUUUAUCUGUACUGAAUGCUUCCUCCGUCCCUGGCAUCUUCGGAAGGUGUGUCCCUUUCCAUUUGAUUCUUGUGGCAGUUGUCACUGCUUUGGACUCCAUGUUUUGACUUGCAGCUGGGUGUCCCCAAAGUAAAUUUAAUCACAGUAUCCCUCAAAUGCUCUCCAAAGGUGGUCAAGUUACUCUCAUUACUCUCAACAAACAAGAGCCAAGAAGUUAAAUUGUUUAGAUUUGCUUAUAUGACCUUCUCCUACUAUAGGGGAAAAGGUACAGAUAAGCCACUCUCAGGGGCUUCCCAGGUGACGUAGUGGUAAAGAAUCCACCUGCCAAUGCAGGGGACACGAGAUGUGGGUUUGAUAUCGGGGUCAGGAAGAUCCCCUGGAGGAGGGCAUGGCAGCCCAUUCCAGUAUUGUUGCCUGGGAAACCCCAUGGACAGAGGAGCCUGGAGGGCAGUCCGUGGGGUCGCAGAAUCGGACGUGACUGAAGUGACUGAGCACACGCUUAAGCCGCUCUCAGAGCCCUCUGCCAGCUCUCUGGUUGCUCAGUGGCCGCGUCCCUGGAUCUCACAGCGGAGGGAAAUGCUGCGCUCGCUGCACGGACCCCACUUGAGGAGUAGCUCACGCGUCUUUGCCUUCACUCUGUCCCACACGGUUCGCUCACCUCUUCUUCGAGAGUACUCAUGUUUCUACCACCUUUGAAACUGAAAAGUGAAAACAGCAAAAUUCUCUUGUUCGUCAUGACCCAAUGGGAGAUAGGGGUGAGCUGCGCUCUCUGCGAGGUGCUGAAUGGAUGAAAAGGACCCCAAACAUAUGGAAAAUAUGGAGAAUGGGGUCUAAGUCAUAAAAAUAAAAAUAAAA
ensembl:lncRNA